rnacentral:ncRNA from 1 species
UAAACAAAUAUGUUUUGUUACGUCCCUAUCUACGAUCUAGCGAAACCACAGCCAAGGGAACGGGUUUGGAAUAAUUAGCGGGGAAAGAAGACCAUUUUGAUGUUGACUCUAAUCUGGCAGUGUAAGGAGACAUAAGAGGUGUAGAAUAAGUGGGAGAUAUUAGACUUCGGUUUGGUAUCGACAAUGAAAUACCACUACUCUUAUUGUUUCCUUACUUACUUGAUUAAAUGGAACGUGUAUCAUUUCCUACCCAUUAUACGGAUAUAAUUAUUAUGUCUUAUGGUAUUGGGUUUUGAUGCAAGCUUCUUGAUCAAAGAAUCACGAGUUUGUUAUAUAAUCGCAAACAAAUUCUUUAAUGAGAGAAUGCAUUUAUGUAUUAUUGAUUUAAAAAUUUGGUAUAACUCUAAUUACUCAGGUAUGAUCCAAUUCAAGGACAUUGCCAGGUAGGGAGUAUGACUGGGGCGGUACAUCUCUCAAAUAAUAACGGAGGUGUCCCAAGGCCAGCUCAGUGCGGACAGAAACCACACAUAGAGCAAAAGGGCAAAUGCUGACUUGAUCUCGGUGUUCAGUACACACAGGGACAGCAGAAGCUCGGCCUAUCGAUCCUUUUGGCUUAAAGAGUUUUUACCAAGAGGUGUCAGAAAAGUUACCAUAGGGAUAACUGGCUUGUGGCGGCCAAGCGUUCAUAGCGACGUCGCUUUUUGAUCCUUCGAUGUCGGCUCUUCCUAUCAUUGUGAAGCAAAAUUCACCAAGCGUUGGAUUGUUCACCCAUGCAAGGGAACGUGAGCUGGGUUUAGACCGUCGUGAGAAAGGUUAGUUUUACAGCAUUCCCGCGUAGUACGAGAGGAACCGCAGGUGCGGACCAAUGGCACAAUACUUGUUCGAGCGAACAGUGGUAUGACGCUACGUCCGUUGGAUUAUGCCUGAACGCCUCUAAGGUCGCAUCCGUGCUGGACUGCAAUGAUAAAUAAGGAGCAAUUUGCAUUGUAUGGCUUCUUAACCAUUAAAAGUUUUUAAUUUGUUUUAUUAACGACAAUGGAUGUGAUGCCAAUGUUAUUUAUAACAUAGUAUAUUAGGAGGAUCUUCGAUCACCUGAUGCCGCGCUAGUUAUAUUUUAAAACAUUAUUUAAUACAAUGUCAAAGCCUAGAAUCAAUAGUAAACGGCUUUUGUAACAGGCAAGGUGUUGUAAGUGGUUGAGCAGCUGCCAUACUGCGAUCCACUGAAGCUUGUCCUUUGCUUGAUGAUUC